rnacentral:rRNA from 1 species
CUCCGGUUGAUCCUGCCGGACCCGACUGCUAUCGGAUUGAGAUUUAGCCAUGCGAGUCGAACGUCCCCCUGUUGCGGGGGGCGUGGCGUACGGCUCAGUAACACGUAGUCAACCUGCCCUGGAGACAAGGACAACCCCGGGAAACUGGGAUUAAUCCUUGAUAGGUCAUCUCAUCUGGAAGGAGAGAUGGCUUAAAGGGGUACGCGGGCUUCUUCCGCGAAUCUGCUCCAGGAUGGGACUGCGUCCGAUCAGGCUGUUGGCGGGGUAAUGGCCCACCAAACCUGUAACCGGUACGGGCCUUGAGAGAGGUGGCCCGGAGAUGGACACUGAGAGAAGGGUCCAGGUCCUACGGGGCGCAGCAGGCGCGAAACCUUCGCAAUGCGCGAAAGCGUGACGAGGUUAAUCCGAGUGACUCCCGCUGAGGGGGUCUUUUGUCAGCUGUAAAUAGGCAGGCGAAUAAGGGGAGGGCAAGCCUGGUGUCAGCCGCCGCGGUAAUACCAGCUCCUCGAGUGGUCGGGGCGAUUAUUGGGCCUAAAGCAUCCGUAGCCGGUUCCGUAGGUCCUCUGUUAAAUCCAACCGCUUAACGGUUGACCUGCAGAGGAUACCGCGGGACUAGGAGGCGGGAGAGGCGGACGGUACUCCGCGUGUAGGGGUAAAAUCCUUUGAUCCGCGGAAGACCACCAGUGGCGAAGGCGGUCCGCCAGAACGCGCUCGACGGUGAGGGAUGAAAGCUGGGGGAGCGAACCGGAUUAGAUACCCGGGUAGUCCCAGCCGUAAACGAUGCUAGCUAGAUGAUUCAUUCGCAAGUCGCGAAUGAAGUGUCGCAGGGAAGCCGUUAAGCUAGCCGCCUGGGGAGUACGGUCGCAAGACUGAAACUUAAAGGGAUUGGCGGGGGAGCA